GCUCCAGACUCCUACGGGAGGCAGCAGUGGGGAAUAUUGCACAAUGGGGGAAACCCUGAUGCAGCGACGCCGCGUGAGCGAAGAAGUACCUCGGUAUGUAAAGCUCUAUCAGCAGGGAAGAAGAUGACAGUACCUGACCAAGAAGCUCCGGCUAAAUACGUGCCAGCAGCCGCGGUAAUACGUAGGGGGCAAGCGUUGUCCGGAAUUACUGGGCGUAAAGGGCGCGUAGGUGGGCGCUUAAGUCAGGUGUGAAAACUCCGGGCUCAACCUGGAGACUGCACUUGAAACUGGGUGUCUUGAGGGCAGGAGAGGAAAGUGGAAUUCCUAGUGUAGCGGUGAAAUGCGUAGAUAUUAGGAGGAACACCAGUGGCGAAGGCGACUUUCUGGACUGUACCUGACGCUGAGGCGCGAAAGCGUGGGUAGCGAACGGGAUUAGAUACCCGAGUA
rnacentral:rRNA from 1 species